GACGAACGCUGGCGGCGUGCUUAACACAUGCAAGUCGAACGGAAAGGCCCUGCUUUUGUUGGGUUCUCGAUUGGCGAACGGGUGAGUAACACGUGAGUAACCUGCCCUUGACUUUGGGAUAACUUCAGGAAACUGGGGCUAAUACCGGAUAGGAGCUCCUGCUGCAUGUUGGGGGUUGGAAAGUUUCGGCGGUUGGGGAUGGACUCGCGGCUUAUCAGCUUGUUGGUGGGGUAGUGGCUUACCAAGGCUUUGACGGGUAGCCGGCCUGAGAGGGUGACCGGCCACAUUGGGACUGAGAUACGGCCCAGACUCCUACGGGAGGCAGCAGUGGGGAAUAUUGCACAAUGGGCGGAAGCCUGAUGCAGCAACGCCGCGUGCGGGAUGACGGCCUUCGGGUUGUAAACCGCUUUCGCCUGUGACGAAGCGUGAGUGACGGUAAUGGGUAAAGAAGCACCGGCUAACUACGUG
rnacentral:rRNA from 1 species